UAAAUUGAAACACGACUGUACACAGCUUCUAAACUAGAGUGGUCAAUCUCAUCUUGACACACGCACCGACAAGUCAAGUACUUGACUACACCCAGCAGCCUUCCGUCAUUGAAUUAGAAAUUCAGGUAGUCCAGUGCCUAAGUGCAGUGAGUUGCUUGUAAGUCACCGUGGCGGUCUCAGGUCGGAGGGACAUUUAUACUCAUAUCCCAUCGGAGCAAAUCUUGACAGUAGAAAUAGCUCCGGAGUUGGUCACAUUCAGUGCAGAUGUACCAUUACAUCUCACCUGUAUGCCAUACCAGUGUCUCCACACUCUUUGGUUAUGAGGACAACCAACCCAUAUGGUACACAAUGACCUAUGCUCGAUAAAUGUUGUCAUCCUUGGUAACAACGUAUCAUUUGGUCGCGAAUAUA
rnacentral:lncRNA from 1 species